rnacentral:rRNA from 1 species
AUGGAAGAAAAGCAGCGGCGGUUUGCGAACUUGAGGAGGCGGAGACCAUACGAGGCCAUUGGCAUACGCGCCUGUGGUGUGGAUAUUACGCCCGUGGUGCGACCACUGCAACUGCUUGGCUGCGGGCAGUGCGGCCACUGCGGCUGCUUGGGGACGUCCUCCGCGUUGCGGGGGAGCUCCUCGACGAGCCGUCGCGGUGCCGAGCACGAGCAGACUGAGCCCACCAUGGGCGCCACCCAAACUUCUUCCUUCCGCAGUUCCUGGCUGGUUCCCCGAUGCGCCGCCGCGCGGCCUCGCCUGGUCGUGGUUACGGUCAAGGGCUAG